CAGCCUGCAACCCGGCUGCACGAAGCCGGAAUCGCUAGUAAUCGCAGAUCAGCAUGCUGCGGUGAAUACGUUCCCGGGUCUUGUACACACCGCCCGUCACACCAUGGGAGUCGGAAAUGCCCGAAGUCAGUGGCCCAACCGCAAGGAGGGAGCUGCCGAAGGCAGGUCCGGUGACUGGGGUGAAGUCGUAACAAGGUACC
rnacentral:rRNA from 1 species